rnacentral:lncRNA from 1 species
GCUUAGAUCUCAUUGGGAGGUAGGAAGCCUGCAGCAGAGGCGCCAACUGAGCCGUUCAGGCUGGGCCACGGGUCCCAGAUUCCAGAUCCACGGAGACCCAGUCGCCCAGCUGAGCACUUGUUGAGAGGAGGGGCGCUAGCAAGGGGGUUAAAGUGGGGAGCCCUCCCAUAGGUCACUCUCUUCCAAAGGGAACUACCCUGUCUUCUCCUGGCAGGGUUCCGCGCCUCUUGACGGCUGCCGUCCUCUCUGGGAGGCACCCUCCCUGCACAGUGUGUCUCCUGGGAAUAUGGAGGAUUAUAGCUUUUGGAGAAAAAAACUCCCUGGGCUUCCCUUUCCCCAACUGCGUUCCAGAUCCUUUGGCUCCUAUCAACAGAGGGCGACGCCCACCAGAUGGAUUCGACAUGGCUUGGAUUCAAGGACGGACUUGCCAUGUCACUGGAGCAGCAGAGAUGUGGUGCCAACUCCCUGUCUACCUGGUGUUUUCUGUUGUGACCCAGGUGGGCCAUAUAUGGAGGUCCAGCCUUUCUUGAGGCGAAUGCACUGAUAAUCAGGCUUGUUAUGGACUAGAUGCUGGAACUGCUUCACUGCCCAGUGACUUCCCCGCCUUCUUUCUGCACCUUCCCACCCUUUUGGGAAAAUGGAAUGGGGAGCAGCCUUCUCACUCCUAGCUGAGUGAGUCGGAGCAAGUCCCUUUUUCUAUCUGGGCGCCAAGGUUUCCUCCAGUUUGCAGAGCCAUUGUGAGGCACCUUGGGCCCAGGAAGCCCACGGCAAAUGUCCUGCUCUGACUUCAUAGAGAAGAGUGCAGCGCUCAGGAGACC